CGGAUGUCUGUUCGGUGGCUUCUCCUUUCCGUGAACCUCAGAUUGCAGUAGUACUCUUGGGAAAAGAAAGGGCUGAUGGUGCUCAGUUCGGAACUCAGUUUCUGAGUUGUUUACCGCGUUCUCUCCUCUCCCCCAAAUGGUCGACUAAUGUAGCCGUCGGUGGGACAUUUGUUUGAGCCACGAAUAAUUCAACCAGCGGUUUACAGUUGACAUUUUCUCUUGCUGGUGAUUUUACGUGGCGGCCCUCUGCUGCAGUUCUAAAACUUACUGAAAACAAACGCUUUUAUAAGGCUGAUUCUAUGUAUUUGGCAGAUCUUGAAAUUUUGCAUGUGUUUUAUGUUUUAAAUAUAGAUGAAUCUUGGGCAUUUUCUGUGGUGAGGCAUAAAUUAGUGAUAUGUAAUAAUUUGACUUAAGAAUGGAAACACGAUCACGACUUUUUUUUUUCCAGCUAUGUGGCCGAAGUUUUGGUAGGAAAAUAAGACAAAAGUAGGUGGUUGGCGAUUAAAAUUAAAAACCUAUUAGAACUCAGGACAGGCGCUUAAUUGCGCUUUUAACAAUAUUUAAGGCUGUUUUUAUGAAUGCAUUGUGAAAAUCACUCCAGUGAAUUCUUUCUUGAAUGUCUAGAACAUAAUAUAAUACACAAGGUAUUCUUGCCACUGGAUAGGUUUCAAUAAAGGUUUAAUUCCACUCACCCCACCCCACCCCCUUUUUUUUUUUUUUUGUCUCUUAAGUAAGUCUUCUUUUUAACUGAGCAUUGACAGAAUAUCUUGAAAUGGUAACCAAGGGGUGGGGUGGUUGUCCUGUGCACAGCAGCCUUGCCAGUUGGGUAUCCUGCUGUUGAUAACUAGUUCACAGACCGAAUGCAUUUUAUUAAGAUUUCCAUCUUUAAGAAUUUAAACCAGC
rnacentral:lncRNA from 1 species